rnacentral:rRNA from 1 species
UACAGAGGUCUCAAGCGUUGUUCGGAUUCAUUGGGCGUAAAGGGCGCGUAGGUGGCGGGGUAAGUCAGGUGUGAAAUUUCGGAGCUUAACUCCGAAACUGCAUUUGAUACUGCCUUGCUUGAGGACUGGAGAGGAGACUGGAAUUCACGGUGUAGCAGUGAAAUGCGUAGAGAUCGUGAGGAAGACCAGUGGCGAAGGCGGGUCUCUGGACAGUUCCUGACACUGAGGCGCGAAAGCCAGGGGAGCAAACGGG